CCUACGGGGGGCAGCAGUGGGGAAUAUUGCACAAUGGGGGAAACCCUGAUGCAGCAACGCCGCGUGAGUGAAGAAGUCAUUCGUGAUGUAAAGCUCUAUCAGCAGGGAAGAAAAUGACGGUACCUGAGUAAGAAGCCCCGGCUAACUACGUGCCAGCAGCCGCGGUAAUACGUAGGGGGCAAGCGUUAUCCGGAUUUACUGGGUGUAAAGGGAGCGUAGACGGCCAGACAAGUCUGAAGUGAAAAUCCAGCGCUUAACGUUGGAAGUGCUUUGGAAACUGCCGGGCUAGAGUGCAGGAGGGGCAG
rnacentral:rRNA from 1 species